rnacentral:lncRNA from 1 species
CCUACAGCUACUGAGGUUUGACAUAACAUGCAUGGGCCAGAACUACCCACUGUAUUUUGUUCAUAGUCCAAACAAAACUGCUUGUUUGGUUCCUAGCUUUGGUUAAUUGUUCUGUCUCCUUUUCAGACUCCUUUUACCUUGUGAGAAGCAGUGCUGCCUUUACUACUGUUACAGGAAUGUCCCAAGCUCAAAGAUUUGUGCCACUAUCUGAAGAAUACCAGAUCAUGCUCAGCUCUCAGGAUCUUACUCUUCAGGUGUGCUGGGACUAAACACCAGCAAAGACAUAGUGCAAGGGGAGGCAGAAGAGACUAAGAUGAUACCAAAUACUUGAA